rnacentral:tRNA from 1 species
UAGGUUAUAAAUCCAAAUUGUCAGUAUGGGCAGACAUUAAAGUCAACCUAG